rnacentral:rRNA from 1 species
GACAGAGGGGGCAAGCGUUGCUCGGAAUUACUGGGCGUAAAGGGCUCGUAGGCGGCCAACUAAGUCAGACGUGAAAUCCCUCGGCUUAACCGGGGAACUGCGUCUGAUACUGGAUGGCUUGAGAUUGGGAGAGGGAUGCGGAAUUCCAGGUGUAGCGGUGAAAUGCGUAGAUAUCUGGAGGAACACCGGUGGCGAAGGCGGCAUCCUGGACCAACACUGACGCUGAGGAGCGAAAGCCAGGGGAGCAAACGGG